rnacentral:rRNA from 1 species
AGAGUUUGAUCCUGGCUCAGGAUGAACGCUAGCGGCGUGCCUCAGACAUGCAAGUCGAACGAGAACCUCCCUUCGGGGAGGGGAAAGUGGCGCACGGGUGAGUAACACGUGGGUAAUUUACCUUUGGGUGGGGAACAACAGCCGGAAACGGCUGCUAGUACCGCAUAAUGCAGCGGCUCGACAUCGAGACAGUUGUUAAAGCGGGGGAUCGUAAGACCUCGCGUCUGAAGAGGAGCCUGCGGCAGAUUAGCUAGUUGGUAAGGUAAUGGCUUACCAAGGCGAUGAUCUGUAGCCGGCCUGAGAGGGCGGUCGGCCACACUGACACUGACAUACGGGUCAGACUCCUACGGGAGGCAGCAGUCGGGAAUUUUGGGCAAUGGGCGAAAGCCUGACCCAGCAACGCCGCGUGAAGGAUGAAAUCCUUCGGGAUGUAAACUUCGCAAGAACGGGAAGAAUAAGUAGGGGACAAUACCCCCUAUGAUGACGGUACUGUUUGUAAGCUCCGGCUAACUCCGUGCCAGCAGCCGCGGUAAUACGGGGGGAGCAAGCGUUGUUCGGAUUUACUGGGCGUAAAGGGCGCGUAGGCGGCCACCGCAAGUCAGUUGUGAAAUCUCUGGGCUUAACCCAGAAAGGUCAACUGAUACUGCGGGGCUAGAGUGCAGAAGGGGCAACUGGAAUUCUCGGUGUAGCGGUGAAAUGCGUAGAUAUCGAGAGGAACACCUGCGGCGAAGGCGGGUUGCUGGGCUGACACUGACGCUGAGGCGCGAAAGCUAGGGGAGCGAACGGGAUUAGAUACCCCCGUAGUCC